rnacentral:rRNA from 1 species
CCUACGGGAGGCAGCAGUGGGGAAUUUUGGACAAUGGACGCAAGUCUGAUCCAGCCAUGCCGCGUGCGGGAAGAAGGCCUUCGGGUUGUAAACCGCUUUUGUCAGGGAAGAAACGGCUUUCUCUAAUACAGAAGGCUAAUGACGGUACCUGAAGAAUAAGCACCGGCUAACUACGUGCCAGCAGCCGCGGUAAUACGUAGGGUGCAAGCGUUAAUCGGAAUUACUGGGCGUAAAGCGUGCGCAGGCGGUUAUGCAAGACAGAUGUGAAAUCCCCGGGCUCAACCUGGGAACUGCAUUUGUGACUGCAUGGCUAGAGUACGGUAGAGGGGGAUGGAAUUCCGCGUGUAGCAGUGAAAUGCGUAGAUAUGCGGAGGAACACCGAUGGCGAAGGCAAUCCCCUGGACCUGUACUGACGCUCAUGCACGAAAGCGUGGGGAGCAAACAGGAUUAGAUACCCUGGUAGUCCACGCCCUAAACGAUGUCAACUGGUUGUUGGGAGGGUUUCUUCUCAGUAACGAAGCUAACGCGUGAAGUUGACCGCCUGGGGAGUACGGCCGCAAGGUUGAAACUUAAAGGAAUUGACGG